CCAAACCUGGGAAUGCUGAACCUCCAUCCCUGGGAAUGCUGAACCUCCAAACCUGGGGCUGCACAGGGGGAUCCAGGCAGCUGGGAGACAGCCAGGCCUUGGGGAGAGAGGGAUGUGCAUGUGGGUGUGGAAGGGUAAAAAGUGGGUGUGGAAAUCAGGAGAUGAGUGUGGGUAUCAGGAGUUGAGUGUGCAUGUUGAAAGGUGAGCAUGCACAUCUGGAGGUGAGUGUGCACAUCUGGAGGUGGCCACAGACACUUGUGGAGUUCCCUGGAUGAGAGAACUGCUCCUGCAGUGAGGGGACUCAGCCUUGCAGCCUGCAGCAGGGCAGGGGAUGCGUUUCCCACUGGCUGCCGUGCCCUGGAGCAGCACUUGGGGCUGCAGAGGACUCCUGCUCGUUUUCAGGCUCUCAGGGAUGCUGUGCUUUGCAAGGAGGCAGCAGAACACUCAGGGCCAGUUCCAGCCCUGUGCUGAUGGUGCUAUGCUCCUGGGAAGAGCCUCUGGCCCAGCUUUGA